UGUUCCCUUCGUAUGAUUGAUGAUUGCCCAGCCCUCUCAUUUGUCAAGGUUUCUCUGCAGGGCCUCUCUGCCUUUGAGGAAGUCAACAGCUCUUCCCAAUUUAGUGUCAUCUGCAAACUGAUUGAGUAUACUAGCGGUAUAUAAGGGUCUGCAUAGCAAAAGCAACUUAAAAAGAGAUUAUUUGGGGCAACAUUGAAAUAGUAAGGCAUGUCCCUCCUGACCCAGACUGUCACAAGAGCAGCAUACAAUAGAAGACUAGACUAGGAUCCAACAGCCUGAGUUCAAAUCCUUCUAUUCUUGAUCUGCUCAGCAGUAGUGAAAAAGUCAGUGUAUCUCUCUGUUUCCCUUCCCACUGAAGUUCUUGGUUUCUCCUUUCUGUGUUUUGACCUUUUUGCCAGCUUUGACUUUAUCUCUUUGGAGCUGGACCAUCUUUCCCAGUGUUUCCAUAAAGUUCAGUAGAAUGUGUCUCUGGAUCUUUGUGUGAGACUUUAGACACUACCACGAUUGUAAUUUGGCAGGAAGGAAAUUAAUUUCUUUCUUAGGCAGGGAAAUGAUCCCAAAUAUAUAUUAACGUCUGAGACUUGAGGUUCAACAAAUGGCUGUUUGCUUCUGUGGCGUCUACUUUAGCAUGCCAUUGACUUCACAGGAUGUAUGCCGAGGACUGGAGCUGUACAUAUGCUGCAGACAACUUGCCUUUGGCUGAAGACUACAGAAAGCUAGACUGGCAUUAACAGCUGCCUGAAGCACAGAUUGCAGUAAAGUAUAUCAUGUUCAUAUCAUCAUUACAUACCUUGGAUUCCACUGUAAGCCUGAAGUCUGGGGGUGAGGAGAACUGUUUGGGCCAUAAAUACAUUAGCUCAGCAUGAUGAACUGUGUGGAUCUCUUCUUCUUAAGGGAAAAGAAGAAAGUGCUUUUAUUCCACAGUCACAUUCUUGGGACUGCUAUAGUGCAAAUCAAGACAGGAGUUUUUUGCUUGUCACAGAAAACUUGGAGACAUUUCUGUCUGUAACAGAUAUUACUGAUAAUCUCAAUACAUGUAUAUCUGAGGCAAGGUUAAGUGUAAAUCUUCAUUUGCAAUCAAACUCAAAUAAUAAUUCGUGAGUGUGCUUACAGCUACAUCUGCAAUAAUAGUUAUUAUUCAUUAUGCAUUUUGUGGAGUGUUGGCAAUUUUCUUAAAGGGGAAUAGAAGAAAAAUUUUAUAAACAAGUAAGAGAUAAUUAUUAGGAACCCAGGGAAAAGAGAAUUUUGGCUUUUAUGAUGCUUGGACACUGUGGCGAAGAAAUGGACCAAAGGCACAGAGAAUCAAGGAUGAGGAAAAAAAAGGCAUGAUGCUUUUAUGAGGGGAGGACUUGGCAGCAAAAGAAAUGUUUUGCCUUCCCUAAUACUGAAUUUUUCAUAUGGCCAAAAUGAGCAUAAGGGGAAAAAUAAAGCCAGAGAUAGAAAUCCAUCUGACUGAGAAUGGAUCCAAGAGAUUCUUCUUUGUUGUUUUGUUGUCAAAGUUCAAUACAUAGUUGGAAGAUACAGAUUUUUAAAAAUAAUGCAUAUUUUAAAGAAAUUGUAUCCACAACUACCAAAAGCAAGUUCAGCAUGAACAGAAAUGUUGCACUGCUUUCCCUAAUAAGGGAAAAAAGGGCAUAAUAUGAUGUCUCUGAUUGAAAACAUGUUCUCUUUUCUCUCUUGUUUGCUGUCAAAGUCUAACAAACUUAUUUGCAUUCAGUUCUCCCAAAAUUUCUGAUAAUUUUGUCACUUGCAGCCGAACCUUUAUGCCUUGAAACACAGCAUCGCCAGCUCGUCCAAACAAAGUCUUAGCUGCACCAUUUACUGUACACAAACUGAGAUUAAAUAAACAAAUUCUGAAAAUAGGGCAUUAGGGUGUUUGUUUGCACUUGGAAAUCAUCACUAUUUUUUACCUUACCAGAAAAAUUGCCCCACAAAGCAAUUUCCGACCCUUGAUUCAGCAUGCUGCUUCGGCAUCGUUCCCAAUCCCUGUUAAGCCUGAGCAUAAAAAACACCCGAGGCUACUGCGUGCUGCUGCAGAGCACCACACUGUGGGUCAAAGGGACAGUCCUUCUCACCUUUCUUUACUGCCCUCUAUCAAACAAAUAACUUUGAGAUGUUGAAAACAUUUGGAAUUAAUAGAAGAGACCCUACCCCCACGUGCAGAGUGUUUCCAGCGAGCGGCACGGGGCUGUGCAGGUUUCACCUGCACAUUAGCUCAUCCGUGGGCAGUUCCAGCAAGGUUCAGAACAUGAGGCCCUUCUAGCAGGGCUUGCAAAAGCUAAUCCACAGAAUGUUUCUGCUAAUUGAGUCAUGUGCUUGAACAUGUGGAAAUUAAAAUGUAGCUGAACCUUUUUAUCUAAUUGCUAAAUUGAGCUUUGUGUACUUCAGCUGAAAGCAGCGGAGGGGACCUUCCCACUGCACAACGUAUUUGUUGGACUGUGCAUGGACUGAAUGGGCAAUUUAAAACAGUGCUGCUGGAGAAUGAAGCCUGUCACAGCUUUCCGUGGUUACUUCGCAUUAGCGCAGAGCUGUUUCUGUAAAUAUGCAGCCUGAAAAUACUUGGUUACAAACUCUCAUCCAUGCAGAGCUAUGACCGGAUUUGCAAAAACGUGUGGAAAAAAAAGAUGAAAAUUUUCAAGAUUUCUUUACUGCUGCUGAAAAUGAAUCAUCUAUACAUGAAAAUUAUGAAAACUCAAAAAAUGGCACAUUAACAUACAUCUAAAGAAGAACUGCAUAACAAUUAUAUAAAUACUAAGUCUGUACCAAGAUCUAAAACAUAAUUACAGACUCAAUUUUCUGACAGAUGAAAGAGACAAUUUUCCAGAAAUUUGGUUCUGUCUAUGUCUUAAAGAUACUGAAUAAAACCUUUCUUUUUAA